GGAUUAGAUACCCUGGUAGUCCACGCCGUAAACGAUGAGUGCUAGGUGUUGGAUCCUUUCCGGGAUUCAGUGCCGCAGCUAACGCAUUAAGCACUCCGCCUGGGGAGUACGACCGCAAGGUUGAAACUCAAAGGAAUUGACGGGGGCCCGCACAAGCGGUGGAGCAUGUGGUUUAAUUCGAAGCAACGCGAAGAACCUUACCAGGUCUUGACAUCCCGAUGCUAUUUCUAGAGAUAGAAAGUUACUUCGGUACAUCGGUGACAGGUGGUGCAUGGUUGUCGUCAGCUCGUGCCG
rnacentral:rRNA from 1 species